GAUACCGGGAGAGCCGGGAAAGGAAGGCACCGAAGGGGCAGAAACUCUCAGGUAAACGGACCGGUAU
rnacentral:ncRNA from 1 species